rnacentral:rRNA from 1 species
GAGUUUGAUCAUGGCUCAGGAUGAACGCUAGCGGGAGGCUUAACACAUGCAAGUCGAGGGGUAUAAGUAGCAAUAUUUAGAGACCGGCGCACGGGUGAGUAACGCGUAUGCAACCUGCCCUUUACAGGGGGAUAGCCCGUAGAAAUGCGGAUUAAUACCCCAUAGUACUAUUGGAUCGCAUGGUUUGAUAGUUAAAGUUUCGGUGGUAAAGGAUGGGCAUGCGUGACAUUAGCUAGUUGGAGAGGUAACGGCUCACCAAGGCUACGAUGUCUAGGGGUUCUGAGAGGAAGAUCCCCCACACUGGUACUGAGACACGGACCAGACUCCUACGGGAGGCAGCAGUGAGGAAUAUUAGUCAAUGGGCGAGAGCCUGAACCAGCCAUCCCGCGUGCAGGAAGAAUGCCCUAUGGGUUGUAAACUGCUUUUUCGCAUGAAGAACACUCCGGACGUGUCUGGAGCUGACGGUAAUGCGUGAAUAAGCACCGGCUAACUCCGUGCCAGCAGCCGCGGUAAUACGGAGGGUGCAAGCGUUAUCCGGAUUUAUUGGGUUUAAGGGGUGCGUAGGCGGUAAUAUAAGUCAGUGGUGAAAUCCCGCAGCUCAACUGUAGAACAGCCAUUGAAACUGCAUU